rnacentral:rRNA from 1 species
UCGAGAUGACCUAGUGGCGAACGGGUGAGUAACACGUGGGCAAUCUGCCCGUAUGUCGUGGAUAACGGUUGGAAACGACAGCUAAUACAGGAUGAGCAUCCCGAAGGCAUCUUUGGGAUGUAAAAGGGGCUAAGGCCCCGCAUACGGAUGAGCCUGCGGUGCAUUAGCUAGUUGGUGAGGUAACGGCUCACCAAGGCGAUGAUGCAUAGCCGACCUGAGAGGGUGACCGGCCACAUUGGGACUGAGACACGGCCCAAACUCC